rnacentral:rRNA from 1 species
GAUGAACGCUGGCGGCGUGCCUAAUACAUGCAAGUCGAGCGAACGGACGAGAAGCUUGCUUCUCUGAUGUUAGCGGCGGACGGGUGAGUAACACGUGGAUAAACUACCUAUAAGACUGGGAUAAAUUCGGGAAACCGGAGCUAAUACCGGAUAAUAUUUUGAACCGCAUGGUUCAAAAGUGAAAGAAGGUCUUGCUGUCACUUAUAGAUGGAUCCGCGCUGCAUUAGCUAGUUGGUAAGGUAACGGCUUACCAAGGCAACGAUGCAUAGCCGACCUGAGAGGGUGAUCGGCCACACUGGAACUGAGACACAGUCCAGACUCCUACGUGAAGCAGCAGUAGGGAAUCUUCCGCAAGGGGCGAAAGCAUGACAGAGCAACGCCGCGUGAGUGAUGAAAGGCUUCGGAUCGUAAAACUCUGUUAUUAGUGAAGAACAUAUGUGUAAGUAACUGUGCACAUCGUGACGGUACCUAAUCAGAAAGCCACGGCUAACUACGUG